UUUUUUUUUUGCCACGUGCAACGAAACUACACCGUACGUCUCCUUAUUGUACCGGGCUUCCUUUUGACUAUUGCCUCUCUCGCUGAACCCCCAAACCCUAAUCCCUAGUUUUCUCAUCAGUCGCGAAUCUGGUUGUCCUCUGCGCCACCUUCCAUCCUCUCCAAGAAGAAUGAGUCGCUCAAGUAGAACUCUUUACGUUGGUAACCUUCCUGGUGACAUUCGCGAGCGUGAAGUGGAAGAUUUGUUUUACAAGUAUGGACGAAUAGCGCAUAUUGAUUUGAAAGUUCCGCCUAGGCCUCCAGGUUAUGCUUUUGUGGAGUUUGAGGAGGCCCGUGAUGCAGAGGAUGCUAUCCGUGGUCGUGAUGGUUAUGAUUUUGAUGGACAUCGUUUGCGGGUGGAACUGGCGCAUGGGGGGCGUGGUCAUUCAUCAUCAACUGAUCGUUAUAGUAACCACAGCAGUGGCCGAGGGCCCCGUGGUGGAGUUUCCAGGCGAUCUGACUACAGAGUGCUAGUCACUGGAUUGCCGCCUUCUGCUUCCUGGCAGGAUCUUAAGGAUCACAUGCGUCGAGCUGGGGAUGUCUGUUUCUCCCAAGUUUUCCGGGAAGGGAGUGGCACUACAGGAAUUGUGGAUUAUACAAAUUAUGAUGAUAUGAAAUAUUCUAUCAGGAAGCUUGAUGAGUCUGAAUUCCGGAAUUCCUUUUCUCGUGCAACAAUACGUGUGAAGGAAUAUGAUUCUAGCCGCUCUAGGAGCCGCAGCCGUUCUUACUCGAGAGGAAAGAGUGGUAGCCGCAGCCCGAGUAACAGUCGGAGUAGGAGCAUGAGCAAGUCUCCUAAAGCUAAAUCUUCUGGCCGUUCAAGAUCCCGCUCGAGGUCUGCAUCUUCACGGUCUCCCUCUAAGUCUAGAGCAAAAUCUCUUUCAAGAUAUGGAUAUAUGCAGCGAUCUGGGGAUUGCAUAAUAUGAUCUUGAUGGGAUAUGGUUCAGUUGCCUACAACUCUUUUGGUUGUGGAGAUAUGGGAACAAGAAGAUCAUGGAUUUUGAUGGUGAAGCGGGACUAUGAACUAAUUGGCAUAUGAAUUUUGGGACCGCCAUCUAUGUGUGGUAGAAACGUUUUAACUGUCUCCAAAGCUUCCGUGCUAAUUAAAGCAUACUCUCUGACUUCCAUAGUAUGAUUCUGGUUAUUCGUGUUUUUAAGGAGCUUUGUUGGCUUUUUGAAGGUUCUUAUCCUAACUUAAUUGGGCCAUUUAUUUAGGCUGAAUAUGAUGCUUUUCCCUUGUGUACUGCUAAAUGUUUGUGAAUAUCCUCUUUUCUAUUUUGAUUGUGGUAAACUCUGACGUGGAAUGGCAUACAAGGCUCUUGGAUCAGAGUUGUUAAGAGGAACAUGUGGAUAUUAAAUUGGGUUGUUUCUGGAACUUUUGCAGAUCUCCAUCAAGAUCCAGAUCCCCCUCACCAUCUCGCCAGAAACGUGCUAACAAAAGCCCAAAAAGGCGCAGCCCGAGUAAGAGUGAAAGCAGGAGUAGGAGCCGUACUCGUAGUAGGAGCAAAACUCCAUCAAGGUGAGCUAUGGUAUUCGCUGGUUUUUGCUGCGCCCUAGAUCUGCAGAUAAGGUGCUCUCUGCUGGAUUAGAUGCGUAUUAGGAUCUGCAGUUGGUUGUCAGUCGUGGUUAACAGAGUUAUUGAUGUAUGAGGAACCAUUUUAUUUUGUGUUUUCUUGUAUGGGCAUGUUGCGGGACAUUUGAUCGCGAGAAUGGUGGAAUGUUGAAUUUGGCAUUUUGUCCAGAUGUAAUCAUGAAUUAAUAUUUCGUGGAGGGCCUGCUGAUGGCUUGGUCCUCGAUUAACUAUAACAUUUCCUUGUGGCGCUACA